rnacentral:tRNA from 1 species
GAGGGUAUAGCUUAAGUGGUAGAGUACAUGCUUAGCAGGCAUUAAGUCCUGGGUUCAAACCGCAGUACCUCA